UCCAGAGGCCUCAAAGUCAACACCAAGA
rnacentral:sRNA from 1 species